rnacentral:lncRNA from 1 species
AAUCUAGCGGGAGAGACAGGAUAACCUGUCCGAGAGUAUAGCGCCACUAUGACUCCGCCGGAAAAAUUACUUUAAAAAUCGCCAAAAAUUACUUGGAGCAAAGGGCAGUCGGCGGAGCUUCGCCAAGGCUGGCGCAGUCGGUUUUGACCUGUAGCAGAGAACCAAUUCUGGAGAACAGCCUCACUUCUUUGAUUGAAUACUUACAUAAUGCAUUGGAACAUGACAUGAGAUUAAGCUGGGAGCAGAGGCUGGGAGAUCGAUGCUGCUUGUCAGCUGUUGUGCAGAAUAACAUCAAUAUGCAAUAAUGGUGGCCAAAGGAGCCUGCACCCAUCCGUUUUUACAAACCCAGUGUAUAAAGCCAAAUGUCCCAUUUAAAGUUUGACAUUUGCAAUAGCAUUCUAUUUAAAAGGUUUAAUAAUGAUAGAAUGAAGACCACAAUAAAAGAGACCUCUACUUAGCUCAGCAAUUCUUACCUUUCUUACCUAUUUGAUGAAGAUGUCUUUUGAAAGGUGUACUGCAAGGAACAAAAUGUUUGUAAAUUCUCCUUUUACCAAGGUAAAGAUCAAAUUUUAUAAAUUUACUUGUUUGUUUAUACAAGGAAAAAUAACUUCAUAUAUUGAAUAUAUUCAAAAGUUUAAGCAUUUAGUUGUAUUGCCCUGUUAAGUUGGCAUAGCAAAUAAAUGCUUUUCUUUUCCUCAUUUUAUUCUUUGUGUUUCCUAACCUAUAGCACUGUGCUGGGCACAGAAUGGACUUCAGUUAAGUUUUUGAUGUAGAAAUGUUUUAUUAUUCUACUUAAAAUCUCCUUAAAAAUAAUUAUGCAUAUUACAUCAAUGUUAUAAUGUUUAAACAUAGAUUUUUUUACAUGCAUUCUUUUUUUCCUGAAAGAAAAUAUUUUUUAUAUUCUUUAGGCGCGAAUGUGUGUUUAAAAAAAAUAAAACCUUGGAGUAAA